CAGUAGCCACGGGAAUACAGAGGGUGCGAGCGUUAAUCGGAUUUACUGGGCGUAAAGCGUGCGUAGGCGGCUAAUUGAGUCGGAUGUGAAAUCCCCGAGCUUAACUUGGGAAUUGCAUUCGAUACUGGUUAGCUAGAGUGUGGGAGAGGAUGGUAGAAUUCCAGGUGUAGCGGUGAAAUGCGUAGAGAUCUGGAGGAAUACCGAUGGCGAAGGCAGCCAUCUGGCCUAACACUGACGCUGAGGUACGAAAGCAUGGGGAGCAAACAGGAUUAGAUACCCUUGUAGUCCCUGUCUCUUAUAC
rnacentral:rRNA from 1 species